rnacentral:rRNA from 1 species
AUCGAACGCUGGCGGCAGGCCUAACACAUGCAAGUCGAGCGGAUGCAGGGAGCUUGCUCCUGGAUUCAGCGGCGGACGGGUGAGUAAUGCCUAGGAAUUUGCAUGGUAGUGGGGGAUAACGUCCGGAAACGGGCGCUAAUACCGCAUACGUACUGAGGGAGACAGUGGGGGAUCUUCGGACGUCACGCUAUCAGAUGAGCCUAGGUCUGAUUAGCUAGUUGGUGGGGUAAAGGCCUACCAAGGCGACGAUCCGUAACUGGUCUGAGAGGAUGAUCCGUCACAUUGUAACUGAGGAACGGUCCAGACUCCUACGGGAAGCAGCAGUGGAGAAUAUUAGACGAUGGACGAAAGCCUGAUCCAGCCAAGCCGCGUGUGUGAAGAAGGUGUUCUGACGGGAAAGCACUGUAAGUUGGAAGGAAGUGCAGUAAGUUAAGACCUUGCUGUAAUGACGUUACCAACAGAAUAAGCACCGGCUAACUUCGUG